UCUUUCACUCCGAGCGGGACCGCCUAAGGGCAUGCCUAUGGCGCACCGCCAGGGUCGGGCUGGAAACGGCACGGCCUUCCGUCUUUGAAAAGGAGUCUCU
rnacentral:ncRNA from 1 species